rnacentral:misc_RNA from 1 species
UUUCCGUAGGUGAACCUGCGGAAGGAUCAUUCAUAAUUGAGUGUCUUAUGGCACUCUUUCAAAAAAUCCAUAUCCACCUUGUGUGCAACGUUUUUAGACACCCUGGCAUUGAUAUCUCUUUUAGGGAAGGAAAGCCAUGAUGUUUGAUUAACUUAACUCAACUCCUUUAAAACAGUUUGUCUGAAUACCUAUUUCUGAAUAAACAUAAUUCAAAAAUACAACUUUCAACAACGGAUCUCUUGGCUCUC